AAGUGAUUUUCUGUUGUUUAUAACUGGGGUUUGUGGGUUGCCUCAUAUUAGGAUUUCAUGGUAUCUAUACACCAGAUCCCUUCAAUCACUUGCUGCCACUGGCGAGGCCAUUCGUGUGGGCACCAAUUACGACUUUCCACGCCUUCAUGGAAUUCCAGUGAACCAUAGAACACAAGGUGUGUAGGGAGAGGGUCUUCAGAGAUUGGCUUGAUGCACUAGAUGUUUACCUCACCAUGAAAUCCUGCAUCUUGUAACUCCUUGGUGCUUCUAUCAUUCCAAAUGAUUCUAGUUAUCCUCUGGAGCCCUUUUCUAAUGAUUCCUGAGCCAGCCAAGAAAUUCAGGCAAGCAUACCUAGAAUGACCACACAAAGACAUGUGGUGAUACAGCAAACAUAUGGAACACCAGAAUUCAGAUUCUGCUGUUGGUAUGAGUUAGGCAGCACCUUGCAGUACCACCCAGUUAAGUGCUCAUAAAGCAGCUGUGUAUGCAGUUACACAACAUGUGCAUCCAAAGAAGAAUUCCCCUGAAUGAGCCACUACUUGAUGAUGAUGAUGACUAUAAAGCUUAAGAAUAGAGAGGAAGCAUCCAAGCUGGACUUGGCUCACUGCAGAGCUCUCAACAAAAAUGUGUUUUCUUAGGCUUUCUCUCUCUCUCUCUCUCUCUCUCUCUCUCUCUCUCUCUCUCUCUCUCUCUCUCUCUCUCUCUCUCUCUCUCUUGAUGUUUUAUGCCCAUUAAGGACAGCAUCUAAGGAGAUGACCUUGGCAGAAGAGCCUCCAUGUCUUCCAGUUGAAAUCUUCCUUCCUCACUUGUUCAAAGUGCUUUUUAUCUCACAUGCAUGUACUACCUUAACAUAUCUUAACAUCCAAGUGCCCUUCCAGUCUUUUUAUGUGCUCAUGUAUACUUAAGUAUUGUCAAAAUAAAAGAGAAGUUUA